rnacentral:rRNA from 1 species
GACGAACCGUGCGAACGUUAUUCGGAAUCACUGGGCUUAAAGGGCGCGUAGGCGGUUGGGUAAGUCGGGUGUGAAAACUCAGGGCUCAACUCUGAGACGCCACUCGAUACUGCCCUGACUCGAGUCCGGUAGGGGAGCGUGGAAUUCCCGGUGUAGCGGUGAAAUGCGCAGAUAUCGGGAGGAACACCAGUGGCGAAGGCGGCGCUCUGGGCCGGAACUGACGCUGAGGAGCGAAAGCGUGGGUAGCAAACAGG